AUUGAACGCUGGCGGCAGGCCUAACACAUGCAAGUCGAGCGAGCGGCGCACGGGUGAGUGAUGUCUGGGAAACUGCCUGAUGGAGGGGGAUAACUACUGGAAACGGUAGCUAAUACCGCAUACCAUCAGAGGUGACCAGAUGGGAUUAGCUAGUAGGUGGGGUAACGGCUCACCUAGGCGACGAUCCCUAGCUGGUCUGAGAGGAUGACCAGCCACACUGGGACUGAUACACGGCCCAGACUCCUACGGGAGGCAGCAGUGGGGAAUAUUGCACAAUGGGCGCAAGCCUGAUGCAGCCAUGCCGCGUGUGUGAAGAAGGCCUUCGGGUUGUAAAGCACUUUCAGCGGGGAGGCGUUACCCGCAGAAGAAGCACCGGCUAACUCCGUGCCAGCAGCCGCGGUAAUUC
rnacentral:rRNA from 1 species